rnacentral:misc_RNA from 1 species
GUGGUUGGAUGUGGGGGUUUGCUGGCCUUUCUUAAUUGAUGGGUCCAGCUCCUCUGAAAUGCAUUAGCAGAACGACCUGUUCAUUGGUGUGAUAACUAUCUACGCUAUUGAAUGUGAGGGCAGUUCAGCUUUCUAACAGUCCUUGGACAAUUCAUCAUUAAUGUGACCUCAAAUCAGGUAGGACUACCCGCUGAACUUAA